rnacentral:rRNA from 1 species
UCACAUCCUGGGGCUGAAGUAGGUCCCAAGGGUAUGGCUGUUCGCCAUUUAAAGUGGUACGCGAGCUGGGUUUAGAACGUCGUGAGACAGUUCGGUCCCUAUCUGCCGUGGGCGCUGGAGAACUGAGGGGGGCUGCUCCUAGUACGAGAGGACCGGAGUGGACGCAUCACUGGUGUUCGGGUUGUCAUGCCAAUGGCACUGCCCGGUAGCUAAAUGCGGAAGAGAUAAGUGCUGAAAGCAUCUAAGCACGAAACUUGCCCCGAGAUGAGUUCUCCCUGACCCUUUAAGGUCCUGAAGGAACGUUGAAGACGACGACGUUGAUAGGCCGGGUGUGUAAGCGCAGCGAUGCGUUGAGCUAACCGGUACUAAUGAACCGUGAGGCUUAACCUU